rnacentral:rRNA from 1 species
GAUUUUCGCAAUGCCCGAAAGGGUGACUAUGCGACGCCGCGUGAGCGAUGAAGGUCUUCGGAUUGUAAAGCUCUGUCAUGUGGGAUGAAUAUCACAAGCUUAACAAGCAAGUGAGAUGACAGUACCACAGGAGGAAGCCACGGCUAACUCCGUGCCAGCAGCCGCGGUAAUACGGAGGUGGCAAGCGUUGUUCGGAUUUAUUGGGUGUAAAGGGCAUGUAGGUGUCCUGGUAGGUUCUGGUUGAAAUCCUUCAGCUCAACUGAAGAACGUGUCAGAAAACUGCCAGGAUUGAGUACAGGAGAGGAGAACGGAAUUCCCGGUGUAAGGGUAAAAUCUGUAGAGAUCGGGAAGAACACCAGUGGCGAAAGCGGUUCUCUAGACUGUCACUGACACUGAAAUGCGAAAGCUAGGGGAGCAAACAGGAUUAGAUACCCUGGUAGUCCUAGCCGUAAACGAUGGGCACUAAGUAGAGGGGUUUUAAUC